GCCUCAACAAACCUCCCAAUGGUUUGCAGAAGCCUAGAAAUAAGAUUUGGAAAGCCCCUUAAAUCGAUUAUGGACCACGAGAGAGAUAAAAGAUGGAUAGGGAAAUAGAUGGAUUUUUCCUCCGUGCGCUGAUCAGCCUUGAUGACCGGAUGCCAGGAACAUGCCAACUUCUAAAUAAAUCGAUAAAUCGUGUUCUCUACAGAUGAAGAGUUGCAGAAUCUAUGGAGCUUGCAAUCUCGUAUAUAGAGAGUACUCUCUCUUUUCCUUCCUUAUUGGAUUUAUGAUUCUUCUCUUGGCCUCUCUACCCCACAACCACCCGGCUACUUACGAUCCAUCCCUGCAGUUACCUCCCACAUAAUCCUUCAGCUGAGUGCACGUCAGAGCCCAAGGAGUCAGCUCUUGGGAGUGCACUGUGCUCAGCACUGGAAUUGAGGAGAUGAAGUUUGCUUGUCUUCAAGGAGCUCACAGACCAUGACUUUGAUCAGUACCUGCAAGACUGUAUUGUUUCCUCUUAAUUACCACAACUCAGUGGAUGGAUUCCGUUGCUGUGCCCAGCAGCACUGGGGUUUACAACAGCCUGGGAGUUCCUCUCCUCUUAUAGCCCCGGGUGAAUAAAACCUCUCAGAAGACAAGUAGAAAGGUGGCUGGUGCCUUCCAUUCAUAACGGAGGAGUAGAUCGCCCGAGAGCUUCAGCGUGCAGCUUCCGUCUCAGAUCCUGGUGCGGCUGGUGACAUGUUCGGUGGAGGAAGGAGAAGACUCUUUGUGUCGCCUUAAUCCUGGCCCGGGAGUAACGCGUGUUGAGUGAGUGAAUGCUUGUCUUCACUCCAGGCUCUUAGGUGUAGAGCAUCAGUAACAAGCAGAAUACGCGGACAACGUACAUACCUUCUUCUCAAUAGCUGAGAAGAUAUUUCUCAGACCUGCUUCAUUUGAAGAGAAAGACAGAGACCGCAAAAUUCCACACUCACAGCCACCAGCCCCCUGGGCGAGCAGGAACUAACAGCACACUGUGCGGGGAGCAAGAGGCGGGCGCCCAGUGGCGUUCGCAGUCAGGAGGGCCCUGCUGGCUGCCCCCUGGCCUUUGUGCGAGAAUCCUCACAUGGAACAGUAGCGUGACCCACCAGAAAGGGAGCCGUCGCCAAGCAACUUCAGGAAGCACUGAAUGCCAACCUGGGCACUGGGCCUGUCGUGGGGUCAAUACUCUGGCACCAAGCUUGGCUCCUACCAGCUGGACGUGUUGAUGUCCCAUGGACAUCUGUUGCUUUUGUCUGCCUGGCAUCCAGCUCCUGUCUUCUGAUGUUUUCUCUCCCCCACACUUCUCCCCGAAAGAUUUGUAUAUAAGUAUACACACUGGAUUCUUCAGAAACCUGCAAUUUGGCUAUCUUUGGGCAAAGAAACUGCUCUACGCUUAUUGUUGAGAUUCCAGAUACAGAUGGAGAAUUACAGACAGUCAAAGAAAUAUGAGUUUCACCUACAAGGAUUUUCCGGCCGUUUCUGAAAGCUCACUUUGGGCCACCUCUUCCCACCACCCAUAAAUCCUAAGGAAUAUCAAGUUUCUUAUUGGAAGCAGAUGCGACGUUUUCAGGAGUUGCCACCUCCAUGUCAGCGACUUCAAGUUUAAGUGCUCGGGCAUCUGUGGAAUUCUCAAAUGGAUGAAUGGGCUAAUGAAUGGAAAGUAAUUAAAUGCCAUAUAUAAAAUAGUAACCACCCAACUUCAGAGGGAUCAUUUAGCCAUUUUCAAUUCCUCUAAUCUUGCUUAUCUAAAUAAAAAUCGUAGCUAGAUAUCUUCUGUCUAUUUAAAGUUGUUUGAUCUUUGACAUUUAUUAUUUUAGAAAUAUUUGAUUUUACUAUUAUCUAGAAAUAUUUUAUCAUAUUUCUUAAUUCUUUCCUGCUUUGGGACUUCAUGCAAGGACAUGAUGAGAAUUUGUUAUUGCUGGAUUUAACACUCAAAUUAAUAAGGUGUAUGCCUUCAAUUGAAAGGUUGGCAUCAAUGGACUCACAUGUCUUCAGUUAGUAAUUGCUACAUAUAAGAUCUAUUCUGCACAGAAUAAAAACAAAAAGCAUAGAUGACCUUGAAAAAUCAAAUCCCUG
rnacentral:lncRNA from 1 species